UCAUGAAUAUUCACAAAUUGAUUAUUAUGAUUGAUUAUGGGUGUGCGGAGUGAAACGAAACUUUGAUUCUGGCGAGAUCUCAUUUUAACAGUCGAAAACUUUGGAUGAUUAUAAAAGGAUUUAUAUUUAUUUCAUGGAUUUUGCUGUGUGAAUUCUGAAGUACUAAGUAAGCUAAUUGCAAAUUAUCCAGAGAUGCUGAAUUAACAAUGCUUUGAUGAACUGAGAAGAAUCUACAGUAGCAAGCACAGCCAUGGGUGCAGAUGAGGAAACAGAACGGAUUGUGAAGGCCAAUGAUAGAAUCGCUAAUUCCAGAUUCAAAUAUGCGAAUAAUUACAUCAAGACGUCCAAGUACAACAUCUUCACCUUCCUUCCCAUCAACCUAUUUGAGCAGUUUUUGAGGAUAGCCAACUUUUAUUUUCUUGUACUCUUCAUCCUUCAAUUGAUUGGUCCUAUCUCAUCUCUAAGCCCUGUCACCACUGCGCUUCCAUUGGUUGUUGUGCUUGGAUUAACAGCUAUCAAAGAUGCAGUAGAUGACUUUAGGAGACAUAAAAGUGACAACCAAGUCAACAACAGAGAAUCUUUCAUCCUUGUCAAUGGAGAGCUUACAACUGUAAAAUGGCAGCAUGUUCAGGUGGGGGACAUCAUUCGAAUGAAGAAUAAUGACUUUAUCGCAGCUGACAUCUUACUCUUAUCAUCCAGCGAGCCUCACAGUCUGGUGUAUGUAGAGACGGCAGAGUUGGAUGGGGAAACGAAUCUGAAAGUAAGACAAGCUCUUCCUGAAACUUCAAAAUUAGGAGAGGAUCUAGAGAGACUGAGUGGUUUCCAAGGUGAAAUUCGCUGUGAGGCUCCCAACAAUGUCUUGGAUAAGUUUGACGGAGCAAUGUCUUGGGCUGGAGAUAGGUUUUCCCUUAACAAUGAUCAGAUCAUGCUUCGAGGGUGCAGAUUACGAAACACCGCAUGGUGUUAUGGUAUUGUUAUCUUCGCUGGUAAGGACACAAAGCUGAUGCAGAACAGCGGAAAGUCUAAAUUCAAGAGAACCAGUCUCGACAGACUACUCAACAAGAUGGUCAUUUUUAUCUUUGGCUUCCUGUUCACCAUGUGCGUGAUUUGCGCAAUCUUAUGCUCAGUGUGGGAGCUGAGAACCGGUAGCGAGUUCCAGGCCUACCUUCCUUGGGAGUACCAGAAUGCUGCCACCAUCUCUACACUUACCUUCUUCUCUUAUGUAAUCCUCCUCAACACCGUUGUGCCAAUCUCACUUUAUGUUACAGUGGAGAUGAUACGACUGUGUCAGAGUCUUCUUAUCAACUGGGAUGUCAAGAUGUACUAUGAUCCAAAGGAGACUGGAGCCAGGGCCAGGUCUACAACCCUCAAUGAAGAACUGGGCCAGAUACAGUAUGUCUUCUCAGACAAGACCGGGACUCUUACUCAGAAUAUGAUGACAUUCAACAAGGCUUCCAUUGGAGGAAGAAAGUUUGGAGAGGUGAAGGACAUCAAUGGGGAUGUCAUGGAUAUAACAGAGGACACACCCCUUGUUGAUUUCUCAUCUAAUACCAUGUGUGAGCCAGGAUUCAAGUUCUAUGAUCCCAGCCUACUUGAUUCUGUUCAGAGGGGUGAUAAACAUUGUUGGUUGUUCUUUCGUCUUCUAUCUCUCUGUCAUACUGUCAUGCCAGAAACUGAUGCUGAUGGUAAUCUUGCAUACCAAGCUCAAUCACCAGAUGAGGCAGCAUUGGUUGGAGCAGCCAGAAAUUUUGGCUUUGUUUUCAAGUCUCGUACACCAACCACCAUCACCCUGGUCGUACAGGGACAGGAAGAUGUCUAUGAACUCCUUCACAUCCUUGAUUUCAACAAUGUAAGGAAACGCAUGUCUGUCAUUGUCAAGCAGGGUCAGAAGAUCAAGCUCUUCUGUAAGGGUGCUGACACCGUCAUCUAUGAACGUCUUGGUUCAUCCAGUGAUGCCUUGAAGGAUGUAACCACUGAGCAUCUCAAUGACUUUGCUAACGAUGGUCUACGAACUCUUUGCUUAGCUAUGAAGGAGGUGGAUGAACACACUUAUUAUGAAUGGAGAAAGAGACACCAAGAAGCAUCUUUGGCAACAGUUGACAGAGAGUCCAAGCUAGAUGAGGUCUACAACGAGAUUGAACAAGACUUGGUUCUUCUUGGAGCUACUGCCAUUGAAGACAAACUUCAAGAUGGAGUUCCACAAACCAUCCAAAACUUACACAAGGCCAACAUCAAACUGUGGGUGUUGACCGGUGACAAGCAAGAGACUGCCAUCAACAUCGGGUACUCCUGCAACCUGUUGACGGAAGAUCUCAACGAGAUCUUCAUCAUCUCGGCAAAGGAGAAGGCGGAGGCUCGUGAGGAACUAGAGGGGGCGCUGUGCAAGAUCAAGGACGUGAUGGGUAUCAAGGAUAAGGACCAACUGGAUGAUGAUGUCUCCUACCAGAGCAAGGACAUUGAUGAGCUUGGAGAUAUCUACAGUUUUGCCAUUGUUGUAACAGGAGCUGCAUUGGCCCAUCUUCUCGACCCAGAGGUAGAACUCGACUUCCUAGAAGCAGCCUGCUACUGCAAGACAGUCAUCUGCUGCAGAGUGACCCCUCUACAGAAGGCUCAAGUAGUUGACCUGGUCAAGACUCACAGGAAUGCUGUCACUCUGGCCAUUGGUGAUGGAGCUAAUGAUGUCAGUAUGAUCAAGACUGCUCACAUUGGUGUUGGUAUCAGUGGUCAAGAAGGAAUGCAGGCCGUACUGUCCAGUGAUUUCUCCUUUGCUCAGUUCCGUUACCUAGAACGUCUUCUCCUCGUCCACGGUAGAUGGUCCUACUAUAGAAUGUGCAAGUUCCUCUCCUACUUCUUCUACAAAAACUUUGCCUUCACUGUCUGUCAUUUCUGGUUUGCAUUCUUCUGUGGUUACUCUGCUAUGACGGGCUAUGACCAGUGGUUCAUCACAGCUUACAAUACUAUCUUCACGUCUACUCCUGUUAUAUCACUUGGAAUAUUUGACCAGGAUGUGAAUGAUGAAAUGAGCAUUCGAUUCCCAGCACUCUAUAAACCAGGUCAGAAGAACAAAUUCUUCAACUGGUUUGUAUUCCUAAAAAGUCUUUUCCAAGGAGUCAUUACUUCACUCGCCUUGUUCUUCAUCCCAUAUGGUGCCUUGUCUGAGAAUCUGUCCCCUGAUGGUCAGCCUAUACACACACAGUUCCUCUUUGGCGCUAUUGUGGCGACUAUGCUUGUUCAUGUUGUCAACUUAAAGAUUGCGAUAGAUACUUCCUAUUGGACUGUCUUCAGUCACCUAUGUAUCUGGGGCAGCAUUGCCCUCUACUGGCUGUAUGCUCUUCUACUAUACUCUGAGCCCAUAUAUGAACUACUGAGGGCGACAUUUACCUAUGUUGGAGUCACAUUUGUUAUGUGUCGUCUGCCAACGUUCUGGUUCACCAUAGCUCUAUUGCCUGUCAUCCUCCUCUUUCCCGCUCUUGGAAGACGAUCGCUGGGCAUGGAUGUUGCGCCGACGUUGACAGACCGCGUGAGACUGCUCCAAAGGAAGGAGGCACGGGAGGCCAAGAAGGCGAAGGGAAAGGGAGACGUGGAGCUGACAAAGAUCCGAAACAAGAGUGCAAUCCCCUCAAGGAUCGGCUCUGCCCGACCAGGAUCUCGCAUGGGGAGCGGAAAGUCGCGACCUGGAUCGGUCCGCUCCGGUUACGCCUUCGCCCAUCAAGAAGGCUUCGGGGAGAUGAUCACUUCGGGGCGUAGUAUGCGUAUCAAGGAUCCACCAGAAAAGAACGGAACAACCGGUGGUGUCAAGAAAACAAAGAGCAAGGAGAAUGUGGAAGAGAAGAAGGAGAAUGGUGUUACUACGGUAACAGAUGAAGAAAUUAAUGAGAUAUUAGCAUAGUACCUACAAAUUAUGUCAUACAUGUCAUUUGGACCCAAAAGACUAUUAUUUCACAACACAGGUACAUGUAAUGUCCCUCUUCCUUGUAACAGUUUAUUUUUUAUAUUCAUGGUGUGUAAAGAAUUACUAGUAAUGUCUUAUAUUUAAUCCUAAAUGAAAAAAUCUUGGGUAAUUUUAUUCUUUUUGAUCUUAUUUAUCAUGAGCUAUUUCAUGAAAAUGAAAAGUGAUAUCAAUUUUAUUUAUAUCCCAUGCUUACAUGGUAAGUGUAUAUAUCAUUGCCUCUCCUCGCCCUGAAAAAGUGAAGACUUUAGUAAGUUGUAAUAGUCUUCUUGUUUGAUUGAAUUGAUGAUUAAAAUGAAUUUCGUAAUAGAACACUUAUCUAAUUAAAGUGACCAUCUAAUUUUUUAUAGUGCUCAGAAUGAAUAGUUUCAUUGACAUUGCCACAAAAAUUGUUGACAUUAAGAUUUUCAUAAUUUUAAGUAUUAUAUGGAGAUGUAUAUUCAAAGACCAAUCAUUCUAAUGAAAAUUACAAGGUAGUAAUUUAUUUUCGUAAACCUUGCAUUGUAUUGCAAUUCAUUUCUAAAGUGUAGAAAUUCCAGAAAGAUUGCUGUAAACAUUCUAAUUCAACCUACGACUGCUGUUGAUUUGUUGACAGCUCUUAAAAUGAAUGAAGUAUUAAGAUACAAUUGCCUUUUAUUGCUUUGAUACCAAAAUAUCAUACCGACCAGAAAGGUUUAUAAUCUUCUAGUGUACUGAUUAAAGUAAGAGAAAAACCAGGAUCCUGUUUCAUAAAACUUGUUACAAUAACAAAUCUCCAAUAACAGUUACAAGCUACUGAAAUCAUUCAAUUUGAUUGGCUGAUAACAAAUAUGUCAUAGAAUUUGGGCAGUUCUUAUUAUAAGUAGUUUUAUGAAAUGAGACCCAGUAGUUUUCCUCCAAACUUGCAAUGUCAGGUACAUUAUUCUUUUAUUUUAAGUUUUCACAGUUGGUACAGAUAAAAAAAAUUGUGUGUUCCGAUUUAUCCAGAUAUUACUUAGAUUGUUCUGGAAGCACAUCGUCAAAGGAGAUACAUGUAGUACAUGUAGAUCAAAAGAGGCCUUCUUUCUUUCGUAUACAGAAACAUUUGUCUCCACAAUGAUAUACUUAAAUCUACCAGAAGAGGAGAAUAUACAGUCAAUGAUAUAUUGUUGGUUAGUGUUUAUUUGGUGUUGGUGUCAGGAAUUUUGGUGUUAAGAGCUGUUGAUUCGAGUGCAAACACCAAAUUUGGGUUUAUAGACAUAAUGCCAAUCACAUUAUUUGUAGCUCGACACCUAGUUUAACACUGACUUCGCACCAGCUUCAUUACACAUCCAGUGUUAUAUCUGUUGCUAGUUUAUGUAAACCCUAACACCCUUUUUUAGCCACCCUGUGCUUGAUGAAACACUGGCUGAAUUUCAGGGAAAAUGGGGUUUUUUUAAACAAAGUGUGAACCUAAUAUAAUCAUGUGCCAAACAAAUUUAAGCUGAAACACUGUAUCCUACCAGCUGAUACAAAGUGCAUCAAUUAUUUCAAUAUUCAGUCUAUGUCGUGAGAUUUAAUAUUUCUGUCUUAUUUGAAAGCAGUUUCAUUUUCAACUUUGAUGAAAUGGUCAGUAUACACACGUCAGGGAACAUGUUUCAUAAAGAAGGUUAUUGACAAAUGUAAAGUUACUUUUAUAAGUUUAUGAAAUAAUGCAAUUUGAUUGGUAAAGAGCAAAUUUCAUCGAAUUAAAGAAGUUUCACUGAUACAAUGCUUGUGGUUAAUUUAAAUGUUUGAAAUAAAAAAAAGUUCCUUUCAAUAUCAAUCUAAUGAAUACACAUUGGUUGUUAUAAAUAUUAAUCAUAUCUUCAAUUUUGUUAGAUGCAUUUGUAAAUGAAGGAAAAGUUAUACUGACCAAAAGUUAAUAUCUGUAUAGAUAUAAUGGAAAGCUGUAUUCAAUUUCCUUCUAUGAUAAUGUAGACAAUUGCGACUGGACUAUUCAAUAUUUAUCAAACUUAUUGUUGAUUUUAUUUAUUACAUUUUCCUGCUGUUGGUAUUGACUUUUAUAAAAUGGCAAUUUCCAAAAUUAAAUUAUUUCCUUGAAAAACGUAGUACUUCACUCAAACCUAUGAUACCAGUGAUAUUAUAAAAAAGAACUUUGUUGGUCUUAAAACCAUUGCCUGUUUUUUUUUUCUUUUCUUUUUUUGUGGGGUCAUAUAGCAUUUCAAUUGAAUUUCAAUGAGAACCAAAAUACUAGUUACUAGUUUUCUUAUAACCUUACACAAAUAUUUUACCAAUAUCAAAUAAUUUUUAAGGAUUUUUUUUUUUGAGGGGGGAAUCUUAUUUGUAAUUUUUUUUUUGGUAACUGCAUUAUUUUGGAGAACCAGGAAUUACAUUUUAAUUGAAUGACAAUGAAUUAUGUCUAUAAAACAUAUGAAGUAACUUUAUAAUGCCAACACAAAAUGAAAUCAAAAGAUUAUAUGACGCUAUGUAUCUUUAUUACAUUCUCAUCCUUCAUUAAAAAAUGUAAUGAAUACUAUUGUGUUGUGAUGAAACCACGUCUAAUUGCAAAGUCAAUUGAAAACCCAGUCUAAGUUUUUAAAGGCAUUUGUGUUGAUACAGUUAAUAUCCUACAAUUAUUUGCCCUAUUAGAAAGUUUAACAGUACUGAAGCAUGACCAAAUAACAUCAUCAUUCAUUACAGUUGGUAGAUUUUGAAAGAGUUUGUUUUGAUGAGGCGACUCCAUGUAAUUUACAGUCAUAAUCCAAACCUGUCUACAUGUUGCUUAUGUAUGCCCUGUGCACUUUCCACCCCUUGAUAAAUAUAAACAGUAUAAUUGCAUGUAUCAAUAUAUCUCUUGAAUUAUGGCUGCGCAGUGUCACACAUUUGUGUCUUUGAUCAGGUGUUGUGAGUAUGCAAUAUUGUCAAACAAUGUCUGCAUUAAUCCUUUCAACACAAUUUAACAAUAUAUUCCAUAUACCAUAGCCUCAUUAAACACAAUAUUUCUCUACAUUACCAUGAGAGUAGCUGAGCCUCGUGGUCAUAAUAUUUUGAUACAAGUAGAAUAUCAUGUUGCCCUAAUAAUGAAUGUAUUCUUUACUGAUAUUUAGCUUAUGCCUGAUCUUUCAUUUUGCAGAUCUAUUGAUAAUAAAAAGUGCUGCCGAAUGAGGUCACCAUAUUCUAGAAAUAGCAUGUUUGCAUGUUCCAAAUAGCUUUCAAGUGAAGAAUGUACAUACAUAGCAAGACCUAGGAUUAAAUUGACAAUGUCCUCGCAUAGUCUCCUUCAAUGCAAGUAGUUAGUAAAUAAUGCUUUUCAUUUUAUGUGGGGACAUUUCAAAUAAUCAUGAAAGACGAUUUCCAAUGGUUUGUGCUUGGUGUAGGAAUGCUUAAAUUUGCCAUUCUGCAAAAGCCUUAAUUACAAAAAACUUUGUAACAAGUCAGGAGUUCUAUUGGUUUAUGUUCAUAGAAGUGUUGUGAAAUGUCUUUAGAUCUGCAAUUGUGUCUUUCAAUCUUUCACUACUCAGAUUUAUUUGAUUCGCUGAAUGAUAAUUUUAGAUAAUGCUGAAAAUCAUGGGACUUUCACUGCAAAAACUGUCAAAUAUAUAAUGUUUUCAAAGCAUGACUGCUAACUGGUACUGCACACAUAAUGGAAGUCGAGUGAAAUAUGAUCCUGUACUUACUUUUUCAUUCCAGAAAUGAAAUAUACUCAACUUUGAUAAUUGAGAAUUCAGUCCUGGAGUAUUUGUUGUAACAAGGAUAAGACAACAACUUAAUAUAUAUUUGAUGCAUAAGAAUAAAAAAUCUACCUCCCCUGGUAUUGGCUGUACAUGAAUUAUCAAAAUUAGAAGUGGCUCAACUUUUGAUUUGUGCCCAUCAUAUCUUGUUUAUUUCCACAUUUACAAUUGAAAUGAAUUUGGGUAUAAUCAAUACUUGUAUUCAUAUAAUAAUUUUCAUCAAGGUAUUUUCGGAAAUACAUUAUGUGAAUGGGUGCACCGUGCUAUGUAUGACAAGCUCCAUACCUAUACUACAUGCAAAUGUUCAAACAUGAUGGCAAAUCAAAUUUUGUUAUUCUACUGUUCCAUGAAAUAAAAUUGUCAAGUUGGAAGCGAUCAGGACAAAACUGUAAGGCACUUCUUUCUAAAAUUUUGUAUCAUGAGAUUAGAUUGCUAGAGUAAUUUAAAGAUGUAAAUCAUUUCAUAUUUGUUAUGUUAUAACAAGUAGAGGCUGUCAAAGAAUUUGCUAUUUUUCCUUGAAUAUUGAAGGUAUAUUUUUCAUUGUAUAUUCAAAUUAAUUUGUACAGUGAAAUCUUGGUUGAAGAACUGUUAUUCUUAUUGUUUUCCUAUUAGACAUGAUUCAACUUGCUGUACAUGGUUAUCAGUUAUUUUGCAAUCCUAGAUUAUGUGAUGUUUCUUCAAGCUUGACUUACAAUUAAGAGUAUGUAAGCAUCAUCAAUUUGGAACAUGUCAAAUACCAAACUUUAAAUGUAAUAUUAUAGAUUCAGUCAAAUCUAGAGUGGUACAUCAUAAAAUCUGUUUUGGUUGUACAUGUACAUUUAGUCGGCAACCGAUAUGGAAACAAUGAAAUAUAAGCUUUUAUAUUUGUAUGCAUAUAGAAUGCUCACAUUUUGAAGUGUAAGUAAGAUCUUGCUUGGCAGUAUUUUAUUUCCAAGAGAUGUGAAAUCAGUUAAUGUGAAUAUAAUGCUGCCCAAAUCUUACACCCCCUAACAUAUGAUUGAUUAGCAUGUAAAGAAUCUUAAAAUCUUUUAAAUCCCUCCAUUUUUGUCCACUAAAUUGAGGUUAAAGUCAUUCUCUUAUGACCGGGAAUUCAAGAUAUCUGCUGUAAAUCUUUAUGCAUAUUGAAAACACCUUUGUUAUGCAUGUACUUCUCGGAUAAUUCUACAAUUAGUAAACUGCAUAACUGCCUGCAGAAAAAUUUCUAAUACAUGUACAUACAUAUCUUUCACAAAGAUUCUACACUGAGUUAUCUUUUCUUUUUGUACACAAGGUGAAAACUUAAAUUUUGUUUGGGUACAAUAUAUAGUCUUGCUAAGGCUUCUGUACCUCAUCGUAGUGAAUUUCGUUUUACUUUUUUCCUAUCCCCAGUAUAAUUUUCAAAGAAAUUUCUGUUGUGUUUAUAUAUUCAUAUGAUUUUCAUUGUGCCUUCGUGGGCUCUUCUCCUGCACCAAGUCGAUCAAAGAUUUUUUUCACAGAAUUUCUCAACCUUGUACGAUUUCUCGCUGAAUAUGAUAAUAGGAAAUGAUGCCUUGAUCAAAAUAAUUCUUUAUACAAUUAGAUCAUCAGCGGAUUUUUAGGCUGAAUUUUAUAUAUAUUUGAAUCAUAGAUGUGUACAUUAUAGAGCAUAUGGUGAUGCGGUAUUUAGGUGCACUAUGCACUGUGGUCAUUGGUAGUUUAUUUGUUUUAAAAAGUAUUAAUUAGAGGCUAUAUAUAAAUCACACCUAAAUGUAUAACAUGUUUUACCAGUAAGUUAAAAUAGAGGCUGUGAUGUAGUGAUUUUUGCUGAAUAUGGGUUUUUUUUAACAAAGAUGUUUAAUUUUGUAUCAUACUAUUUGUUAAUAAGCUAUGUCUUCAUUAGAAUGUAUAUGGCAUAAGUACAUGUAAAGUAAGUGAAUUGUGAAAGAUUUUAACAAGAAUCCUCAUAUAUUGAGGCUUGCUGUACUAAGGAGUUCCUAAUAACAUCUUCAAAAUGUUUAUUCAUCAGUUGACAAACUCUGGUCAGGAGUGUGAAAAACAACUGUCACAAAUAUUUAUGGUUGAAAUUGACUGUUGGUUCUUUCUGAGCAUGAUAGGAUUGUGUUCUCUCAGUUUAACUGGGUUUUCACUUUACAGACUUGUGAUUUAAUUCUGUGUCAACUAUGGAAAGCCAGUGUUUCCAUCAUGUGUCUUGUUUGAGUAUGUCGGCGCAUAUGAAGUGCUCUUGAAGAUGUACCCAUGUGCAUCCCUCUUUAACCGUGCUCUUUUCGUUUUUUUAACUUGAGUGCAUGCAGAACUUUUCUCAACUAUAACUUAUGGAGCAACUGGCCUUCCAUAGCUGAUUUGAAUCCAUUGCAACAUUCUAUAUGACUGGCCUGUUCACUCAUUAAAAGAAAGGUAGAACUCAGCAUUACAUGUGAAUUAUGUGCGUGGAAGGUGAGCUUUGUCUUUCACUUAUACUAUCAAAAUGCUGGCAAAAAAUAUGA
rnacentral:misc_RNA from 1 species